CUUGAACGACAUUUGCAUGACGUUCCACACGGACAAAAGGUUUGAAACUAUCGAAAGUGACUAAUCCGACAUGACAAGGAAAAAUAAUUAAACCAAUAUGCCCUACCUAGCUUCCUCGGAAAUCGUGGCGUAGCCGAGGUCUUACCUUGUGUGGAGACGGUGGGACUAGUCGCCGCCGUUCUUCGGCAGAGCGCCUGAAUUUUCGAAACAGAUUUCUACAAAAUAUUUGAUUUUAUAUUAAAUGCCAUUUAUUCUCUUUCACAUAUUAAAAGCUGAAACUUCUAACUUA